GCAGAGAACAAAUUGAUUCUCCUCCAGCUGUUCCCGCACCGUCUGUCCUCGCUCAGCCGUAGGCCGCCCGCUGCACCUCUCGCGGCUUCUCCGCUUGUCCGGGAACAUGGAGCAAGGGGUCCCUGUACGUGGGGGGGCUUCUGGUUCCACGUCCCUUCUCCAGACUGAGGUCCCAGAGCUGGGACACACACACACGCACUCGCUCACACAGAGGCACACACAUACACACCCCGGCAUGGAUACCACAUGCUGGCACGCGCACACACAGGCACACACUCACACCUGUGCCUGCUCUGGUGGAGGUAGCCGCAGGUAAGACCCUCACCUUUGUGCAGCUAAGUGGAGUCUUCACCCCUCAGCUGAUUUUUCUCGUGCAGCUGCCAAAGCAAACUUCGGAGCUGAAAACCUGAGCUUCCUGUCAUCCUUGGCCUUAAAUCCUUCCCUUGGCUCCCUUUGCCUCCAGGAUAAAAUUCAAACUCGCAUCUCUCACUACCCAUCACUGUAAAGUCAGAGCUUCCUCCAUGCCAGAGUCUUUACAGACUUGCAAACUGGCCCCUGGGCCUUUGCACAUGCUGUGCCCUCAGCCAAGAAUGCCUGCACGUGCCCUCUCCCACCCUCAUUCCUUUGCCAAUGGACAGUAUCUCCUCGUCCUUCAUCUUGCAGGCCACCUCUCUGACACAGCUUCUCCAGGGGAGGGACUUCUGCCCUCUUAGCUCUCACGGCUCCCCUGUGCUUGCCCCUGACAUGACGCCCAGCACACACUGAAUGGAAACGUUCCCUGGCUUGGUCUGGCUCCUCCUCUCCCUGGGCUCAUCUCUGUAACCACCGCCUCGUGCAUGACCAGCCACAGAGCCGGAGCCAUAAGGGUUACAGACUGGAGGGGGCACAGGCAGAAGGUUUCGAGGCCAAGCGCUUGUGCAGCCGAGGACCAGUGGGCACAGGAAGGCAGCGCAGGGGCUGGUGCUGUGGCAGGAACCAGGGACUCUGCCUGUGAAGCCCAAGUGUGGGAGGCAGGCUGUGACCAGGAGCCUGGAAGAAAGGCCCCCGUGCUUCAUGAUGUGGGGACCUGGCUGGUGAUGGAGAGGACAGCGUGCACACUGACCCCUGGGAAGGAAGAGCCACUGCGGUCAGACACAGAAGAUGGCCUUCCUGACACGUCAUCUCGAGCGGUGUGAGCUGUUGAGCUCAGCUGCCCUCAGUCACUGGUCAGCCCCAGACACUCGCCAGGAGAGAGGCGUUUUCUCAUUGGAUCUGAGUGCUCGAUUUUGUAGAAUAAACAUUUGUAAACUCUCA
rnacentral:lncRNA from 1 species